rnacentral:rRNA from 1 species
GAUGAACGCUAGCGGGAGGCUUAACACAUGCAAGUCGAGGGGGCAGCAUAGGGUAGCAAUACUCUGAUGGCGACCGGCAAAACGGGUGAGUAACGCGUAUGCAACCUACCCUGUACAGGGGGGAUAACCCGGAGAAAUUCGGACUAAUAUCCCGUAAUAAUAUCCGGAGGCAUCUUUGGAUAUUUAAAGUUCCGACGGUACGGGAUGGGCAUGCGUAACAUUAACUGGUUGGUAAGGUAACGGCUUACCAAGGCUAUGAUGUUAGGGGUCCUGAGAGGGUGGUCCCCCACACUGGUACUGAGACACGGACCAGACUCCUACGGGAGCAGCAGUGAGGAAUAUUGGUCAAUGGGCGCAAGCCUGAACCAGCCAUCCCGCGUGCAGGAAGACGGCCCUAUGGGUUGUAAACUGCUUUUCCAGGGAGAGAAACUUACGCACGUGUUGCGUGACUGACGGUACCCUGGGAAUAAGCAUCGGCUAACUCCGUG